rnacentral:rRNA from 1 species
GCUGCAACUCGCCUGCAUGAAGUCGGAAUUGCUAGUAAUCGCAGAUCAGCAUGCCGCGGUGAAUACGUUCCCGGGCCUUGUACACACCGCCCGUCACACCAUGGGAGUCGGUAACACCCGAAGUCGGUAGCCUAACCGUAAGGAGGGCGCCGCCGAAGGUGGGAUUGAUGACUGGGGUGAAGUCGUAACAAGGUACC